rnacentral:rRNA from 1 species
UACGAAGGGUGCAAGCGUUACUCGGAAUUACUGGGCGUAAAGCGUGCGUAGGUGGUUCGUUAAGUCUGCCGUGAAAGCCCCGGGCUCAACCUGGGAAUGGCGGUGGAUACUGGCGGACUAGAGUGCGGUAGAGGGUGGUGGAAUUCCCGGUGUAGCAGUGAAAUGCGUAGAGAUGCGGAGGAACACCGAUGGCGAAGGCAGCCCCCUGGGCCAACACUGACGCUCAGGCACGAAAGCGUGGGGAGCAAACAGG